rnacentral:rRNA from 1 species
UGGGGGAUAUUGCACAAUGGGCGAAAGCCUGAUGCAGCGACGCCGCGUGGGGGAUGAAGGCCUUCGGGUUGUAAACUUCUUUUGCUCUGAACAAGGCAUGCCUUUGGGGUGUGUUGAGUGUAGGGGUUGAUUAGCGCCGGCUAACUACGUGCCAGCAGCCGCGGUAAUACGUAGGGCGCGAGCGUUGUCCGGAAUUAUUGGGCGUAAAGGGCUUGUAGGUGGCUGGUUGCGUCUGUCGUGAAAGCUCAUGGCUUAACUGUGGGUUUGCGGUGGGUACGGGCUGGCUUGAGUGCAGUAAGGGAGGCUGGAAUUCCUGGUGUAGCGGUGGAAUGCGCAGAUAUCAGGAGGAAUACCGGUGGCGAAGGCGGGUCUCUGGGCUGUUACUGACGCUGAGGAGCGAAAGCGUGGGGAGCGAACAGG